UGUGCCAUUUCUGCCGUGAAUCUUUGCGACACUAAGCUUCCUUGCUGCAUUUUCAAGAUGACUUAUUCUGGCUGUUAGCUACCUCCAGAACUGUUACACUGAAAAUCCUUUGCAAGUCCCAUUUGAACCUGCCAAGAAGUAUGGCCACUCAAAACAUGAAUUUUCCAGAUAAUUUGCUGAAAAGGGGAAAAAAAAGGAAGAAGGCCCAUCUCUAAUGACUCUGAUGACAAAACCAUUUGUCUGCAAGGACUUCUCACAGAUGACACAAGAAUUUAGUGUUUACCCAAAUGUCUUUGGGUCAGAUCUUUACAUAAUACAAACUGGAAUAUACCUUUA